UACUUGUAGUUUCGUGGCAAGUAUCAUUAUU
rnacentral:sRNA from 1 species